rnacentral:rRNA from 1 species
GGUUAAGCGACUAAGCGUACACGGUGGAUGCCCUGGCAGUCAGAGGCGAUGAAGGACGUGCUAAUCUGCGAUAAGCGUCGGUAAGGUGAUAUGAACCGUUAUAACCGGCGAUUUCCGAAUGGGGAAACCCAGUGUGUUUCGACACACUAUCAUUAACUGAAUCCAUAGGUUAAUGAGGCGAACCGGGGAACUGAAACAUCUAAGUACCCCGAGGAAAAGAAAUCAACCGAGAUUCCCCCAGUAGCGGCGAGCGAACGGGGAGCAGCCCAGAGCCUGAAUCAGUGUGUGUGUUAGUGGAAGCGUCUGGAAAGGCGCGCGAUACAGGGUGACAGCCCCGUACACAAAAAUGCACAUGCUGUGAGCUCGAUGAGUAGGGCGGGACACGUGGUAUCCUGUCUGAAUAUGGGGGACCAUCCUCCAAGGCUAAAUACUCCUGACUGACCGAUAGUGAACCAGUACCGUGAGGGAAAGGCGAAAAGAACCCCGGCGAGGGGAGUGAAAAAGAACCUGAAACCGUGUACGUACAAGCAGUGGGAGCACAGAGCAAUCUGUGUGACUGCGUACCUUUUGUAUAAUGGGUCAGCGACUUAUAUUCUGUAGCAAGGUUAACCGAAUAGGGGAGCCGAAGGGAAACCGAGUCUUAACUGGGCGUUAAGUUGCAGGGUAUAGACCCGAAACCCGGUGAUCUAGCCAUGGGCAGGUUGAAGGUUGGGUAACACUAACUGGAGGACCGAACCGACUAAUGUUGAAAAAUUAGCGGAUGACUUGUGGCUGGGGGUGAAAGGCCAAUCAAACCGGGAGAUAGCUGGUUCUCCCCGAAAGCUAUUUAGGUAGCGCCUCGUGAAUUCAUCUCCGGGGGUAGAGCACUGUUUCGGCAAGGGGGUCAUCCCGACUUACCAACCCGAUGCAAACUGCGAAUACCGGAGAAUGUUAUCACGGGAGACACACGGCGGGUGCUAACGUCCGUCGUGAAGAGGGAAACAACCCAGACCGCCAGCUAAGGUCCCAAAGUCAUGGUUAAGUGGGAAACGAUGUGGGAAGGCCCAGACAGCCGGGAUGUUGGCUUAGAAGCAGCCAUCAUUUAAAGAAAGCGUAAUAGCUCACUGGUCGAGUCGGCCUGCGCGGAAGAUGUAACGGGGCUAAACCAUGCACCGAAGCUGCGGCAGCGACGCUUAUGCGUUGUUGGGUAGGGGAGCGUUCUGUAAGCCUGUGAAGGUGUGCUGUGAGGCAUGCUGGAGGUAUCAGAAGUGCGAAUGCUGACAUAAGUAACGAUAAAGCGGGUGAAAAGCCCGCUCGCCGGAAGACCAAGGGUUCCUGUCCAACGUUAAUCGGGGCAGGGUGAGUCGACCCCUAAGGCGAGGCCGAAAGGCGUAGUCGAUGGGAAACAGGUUAAUAUUCCUGUACUUGGUGUUACUGCGAAGGGGGACGGAGAAGGCUAUGUUGGUAGGGCGACGGUUGUCCCGGUUUAAGCGUGUAGGCUGGUUUUCCAGGCAAAUCCGGAAAAUCAAGGCUGAGGCGUGAUGACGAGGCACUACGGUGCUGAAGCAACAAAUGCCCUGCUUCCAGGAAAAGCCUCUAAGCAUCAGGUAACAUCAAAUCGUACCCCAAACCGACACAGGUGGUCAGGUAGAGAAUACCAAGGCGCUUGAGAGAACUCGGGUGAAGGAACUAGGCAAAAUGGUGCCGUAACUUCGGGAGAAGGCACGCUGAUAUGUAGGUGAGGUCCCUCGCGGAUGGAGCUGAAAUCAGUCGAAGAUACCAGCUGGCUGCAACUGUUUAUUAAAAACACAGCACUGUGCAAACACGAAAGUGGACGUAUACGGUGUGACGCCUGCCCGGUGCCGGAAGGUUAAUUGAUGGGGUUAGCGGUAACGCGAAGCUCUUGAUCGAAGCCCCGGUAAACGGCGGUACGUAACUAUAACGGUCCUAAGGUAGCGAAAUUCCUUGUCGGGUAAGUUCCGACCUGCACGAAUGGCGUAAUGAUGGCCAGGCUGUCUCCACCCGAGACUCAGUGAAAUUGAACUCGCUGUGAAGAUGCAGUGUACCCGCGGCAAGACGGAAAGACCCCGUGAACCUUUACUAUAGCUUGACACUGAACAUUGAGCCUUGAUGUGUAGGAUAGGUGGGAGGCUUUGAAGUGUGGACGCCAGUCUGCAUGGAGCCGGCCUUGAAAUACCACCCUUUAAUGUUUGAUGUUCUAACGUUGGCCCCUGAUCGGGGUUGCGGACAGUGUCUGGUGGGUAGUUUGACUGGGGCGGUCUCCUCCUAAAGAGUAACGGAGGAGCACGAAGGUUGGCUAAUCCUGGUCGGACAUCAGGAGGUUAGUGCAAUGGCAUAAGCCAGCUUGACUGCGAGCGUGACGGCGCGAGCAGGUGCGAAAGCAGGUCAUAGUGAUCCGGUGGUUCUGAAUGGAAGGGCCAUCGCUCAACGGAUAAAAGGUACUCCGGGGAUAACAGGCUGAUACCGCCCAAGAGUUCAUAUCGACGGCGGUGUUUGGCACCUCGAUGUCGGCUCAUCACAUCCUGGGGCUGAAGUAGGUCCCAAGGGUAUGGCUGUUCGCCAUUUAAAGUGGUACGCGAGCUGGGUUUAGAACGUCGUGAGACAGUUCGGUCCCUAUCUGCCGUGGGCGCUGGAGAACUGAGGGGGCUGCUCCUAGUACGAGAGGACCGGAGUGGACGCAUCACUGGUGUUCGGGUUGUCAUGCCAAUGGCACUGCCCGGUAGCUAAAUGCGGAAGAGAUAAGUGCUGAAAGCAUCUAAGCACGAAACUUGCCCCGAGAUGAGUUCUCCCUGACUCCUUGAGAGUCCUGAAGGAACGUUGAAGACGACGACGUUGAUAGGCCGGGUGUGUAAGCGCAGCGAUGCGUUGAGCUAACCGGUACUAAUGAACCGUGAGGCUUAACCUU